AUUGAACGCUGGCGGCAGGCCUAACACAUGCAAGUCGAACGAGUGGCGGACGGGUUAGUAAUGUCUGGGAAACUGCCUGGUGGAUGGGGAUAACUACUGGAAACGGUAGCUAAUACCGCAUACCAUCGGAUGUGCCCAGGUGGGAUUAGCUAGUAGGGGGGGUAAAGGAUCACCUAGGCGACGAUCCCUAGCUGGUCUGAGAGGAUGACCAGCCACACUGGAACUGAGACACGGUCCAGACUCCUACGGGAGGCAGCAGUGGGGAAUAUUGGACAAUGGGCGAAAGCCUGAGGCAGCCAUGCCGCGUGUGUGAAGAAGGUCUUCGGGUUGUAAAGUACUUUAAGCGGGGAGGCGUUACCAGCAGAAGAAGCACCGGCUAACUCCGUGCCAGCAGCCGCGGUAAUAC
rnacentral:rRNA from 1 species